CACGUAGGGUGCGAGCGUUGUCCGGAAUUAUUGGGCGUAAAGAGCUCGUAGGCGGUCUGUCGCGUCGAUCGUGAAAACUUGGGGCUUAACCCUGAGCUUGCGGUCGAUACGGGCAUGACUGGAGUUCGGCAGGGGAGACUGGAAUUCCUGGUGUAGCGGUGAAAUGCGCAGAUAUCAGGAGGAACACCGGUGGCGAAGGCGGGUCUCUGGGCCGAUACUGACGCUGAGGAGCGAAAGCGUGGGGAGCGAGCAGG
rnacentral:rRNA from 1 species